rnacentral:rRNA from 1 species
CGUGCGGUUCUAUUUUGUUGGUUUCUAGGACCGCCGUAAUGAUUAAUAGGGAUAGUCGGGGGGCGUCAGUAUUCAGCUGUCAGAGGUGAAAUUCUUGGAUUUGCUGAAGACUAACUACUGCGAAAGCAUUCGCCAAGGAUGUUUUCAUUAAUCAGGGAACGAAAGUUAGGGGAUCGAAGACGAUCAGAUACCGUCGUAGUCUUAACCAUAAACUAUGCCGACUAGGGAUCGGACGGGAUUCUAUUAUGACCCGUUCGGCACCUUACGAGAAAUCAAAGUUUUUGGGUUCUGGGGGGAGUAUGGUCGCAAGGCUGAAACUUAAAUAAAUUGACGGAAGGGCACCACAAGGCGUGGAGCCUGCGGCUUAAUUUGACUCAACACGGGGAAACUCACCAGGUCCAGACAAAAUAAGGAUUGACAAGAUUGAGAGCUCUUUCUUGAUCUUUUGGAUGGUGGUGCAUGGCCGUUCUUAGUUGGUGGAGUGAUUUGUCUGCUUAAUUGCGAUAACGAACGAGACCUCGGCCCUUAAAUAGCCCGGUCCGCAUUUGCGGGCCGCUGGCUUCUUAGGGGGACUAUCGGCUCAAGCCGAUGGAAGUGCGCGGCAAUAACAGGUCUGUGAUGCCCUUAGAUGUUCUGGGCCGCACGCGCGCUACACUGACAGGGCCAGCGAGUACAUCACCUUAACCGAGAGGUUUGGGUAAUCUUGUUAAACCCUGUCGUGC